GAUGAACGCUGGCGGCGUGCCUAAUACAUGCAAGUCGAGCGAACAGACGAGGAGCUUGCUCCUCUGACGUUAGCGGCGGACGGGUGAGUAACACGUGGAUAACCUACCUAUAAGACUGGGAUAACUUCGGGAAACCGGAGCUAAUACCGGAUAAUAUAUUGAACCGCAUGGUUCAAUAGUGAAAGACGGUUUUGCUGUCACUUAUAGAUGGAUCCGCGCCGCAUUAGCUAGUUGGUAAGGUAACGGCUUACCAAGGCAACGAUGCGUAGCCGACCUGAGAGGGUGAUCGGCCACCCUGGAACUGGAACACGGUCCAGACUCCUACGGGAGGCAGCAGUAUGGAAUCUUCCGCAAAGGGCGAAAGCCUGACGGAGCAACGCCGCGUGAGUGAUGAAGGUCUUCGGAUCGUAAAACUCUGUUAUUAGGGAAGAACAAAUGUGUAAGUAACUAUGCACGUCUUGACGGUACCUAAUCAGAAAGCCACGGCUAACUACGUG
rnacentral:rRNA from 1 species